rnacentral:ncRNA from 2 species
GCGGAGCGCGCGGGAGAGAUCGUGGAGAGGCCCUGGCCGAACCGCGGCGCCGAAGGAGCAACCGCCCCGGAAACUCUCAGGCAAGGCGAACCGCGCGCGCCGA